GGGGAUUUAGCUCAGUGGUAGAGCGCUUGCCUAGGAAGCGCAAGGUCCUGGGUUCGGUCCCCAGCUCCA
rfam:Rattus norvegicus chromosome 7, whole genome shotgun sequence.